ACUUAACAAAAAAUCCUCUCACUAUCAGUGUAUGCGUGCCAGUGCGGUAGUGGAAAGAAGAAAAAAAUUAUAAUUUUUGUACAACGUCGUCCAUCGUUCGUCGUCAGUAUAUAAAAAAAUAUUGCAGAAAAAUUUGGUGUUUCUAAGCUUAAUCAAUAAAAGAAAAUAAACAAAUUAAUUAAGGCCCCUAAAACGGCAACGCGCAGCUCGCUGAUUACAAAAAAAGUAAACGAUUUGUAAACAACAAUAAAAAGUAAAAUUGCAUUUUAUUUCUUCGAUUGUUUUGCUUUCCUUAACAUCUCCAACAACAACAACAAUAAUAAAACGUUAUUAAACAUAAAAAAAGAAUAAAAUCUUUUAUUUUUUUUCUACAUGCUGUGCUGUACUGCUGCUGUCUGUCUGUCACCAGUGUUAUUAAUAUAAAUGAAAAAAAGCUCUAAAAGAAAUAUUUUAAACAAAUUUAAAAGAAAUGUUUUAAAAUAAUGUAAAUAUUAAAACAAAAUACAAAUUGUUUUUUUAGGCUAAAUAAUUUCUAAAAAGAAAAAAUCUAAAAUAUUUAUAAGAUUUUCAAAAAAACACAAAAAAACUAAACAAUUUUUUGUUAAAUGAGCCUAAAAUACAAAAACAUCCAACAACAAAAAAAACGUCUUCGCUUUAAAACAUUACAAUUUACUAUAAUAAAUUAGAAAAAACAUAAACGUGCAAUCAUUUAGUAAAAAAAAAAACUAAUAAAAAAACGUAGUUAAAGCAGAAAAAUCAUAUAACUGGAAAUUUUUUGGAAAUGAAAAUCUUUUAAAUUUCAACAAGAAAACUUUUCAAAUUAAAUUUGAGUCAAAAAGAAAAUAAAAAAAUAAUAAUUUUAACGGUUUUUUGUUACUAAACAUUUAAAUAUAAAAAUUUUAAUUUGAAAUAUUAAAAAGACAAAACUCGUCCCCCUUUAAACGAAAGUGAAAACAAUAAACUUUUUGGCUUUAAUACUAAACUAAAAAAAACACCUAAAAUUUCCUAAAUUGAUUAAGAAAGUAGAAAAAAAAACGCCAAGGAAUCAUCAUCAACAACAAACCGCAACAACAACCAUAAACCACCACACAAACAACAACUCAAAUUAGAAUUAUUUUUCUUUCCCCCGGUGUUAUAAUAAAAAGCAGCCAACACGCAGGCAUCAGGCGGCAUUGAUAAACCUUCAAAAGACACCACUGCAUUAGGAGUCGCAGUCGACGACGCGGACGACGAUAUGAGUGGGCGUCCAAGGACAACCUCAUUCGCUGAGGGCAAUAAGCAGUCACCAAAUUUAGUAUUGGGAGGCGUUAAAACAAGCAGUAAGUGUUUCUUUUUUUAUUAAAUUUUAUUAUUCUCUUCCGUAAGUUAUGUACCGGUAAGUUUAUUUUGAAAAAAAAUUAAAAAUUGCUAAAUAAAAUUACGGAAAAAUUUGUGAAAAUUGUUUAAAAGAAACUCACUCUGUCGGUUAUUAAAAACCUUUAAAACAGAGUUUUACUUCUUAUGGAUUUAUUAUUAAAACAAAUUAACAGUAAUGAUUGUGUGUUUAUCUUUAAUAAUUCAUUAAAACAACAACAACAUAUACACACCCCCAUUCGAAAAUUACAGCAAUAACAACAAAGUGAAUGUGUUGUAAGAGAAAAAGCUUUUUCUUUUCUUCUAUACACUGGGUUUGGUUGGUUAGCUGAUGUACGUGUGAGUGAGUUUGUUUACUAAAGAGUUUGGGUGUUUAUAUUUAAAUGUAGUACAAUCAGUGAGGUAUAUUUUUAGGAUGUAAUAAUUAAAACGUUAAUUUUAAAGUUUAGUCAAGGGAAGAUAAUUAAAGUAAACGUUAAAUUUAAAAAGUAAUUUAAAAGAAAAUUAAAGAAAUUUAAAGUAAAUUUGAAAGGAAAAUGUUUAUAAAAGUUAAAGUAAAAUAAAUUUUAGAGAAAAAUGUUUAAUUAAUGGAAAAAAUAUUGAGAAAAUUUAAAGGGAAAGGGAAAUUUGAUAACUUUUUUUAUGAACUUCAAAAGAGUUGUUUUUUGUUUUUUCAGUUCAUUAACUUUGCAACUGUUUUUGUUCAGAUUUAGGUUCAUUGCUUUUUAUUACUACCUGUAAUUUAGCUUUUGUUUAAAGUUGCUCUUGAAAAGUCUCGUAAUUUUAUCAUAAAUUAUUAAAAAAAUUUAUGUAUUUUUUUAACAUUUUAUUAAUGCCAGGCAAUAUUGAAAUUAAAAUGAAAGGUUAAAAGAAAUAAACAACAAAUUGCUUUAAAAAUAACUUAAAAAAAGCAAAAAGCUCUAAAAUGAAAAAACGCUAAAAUGUAUUAUUACAACUUGAAAAGAGAAGAAAUAUCUCCAUGUUCUGAGAUAAAUGAAAUAUUCAAAGAAAAUUACAAAUUUUGCAAGAUUUUCCCCAUAUUUUCUAAAAAGCACCAAAUUGGAAAAAACGCUAAAAUUUUUAUCUACUACUUGAAAGUUCUUAAAUAACUAUAAAACAAAAACGGUUAAAUGUAAAAUUUUUACUUAAAAUGUAAAGAAGUUUUUUUUAUUGCCACGAAAAACUAAAAUUUUAAGAAAAACUAUACAAAUUUAUAGUAUUUCAUUGAUUUUUCUAAAAAGCACUAAAAUGAAAAAAUCACCUAAGUACAUGUUUUGUUUUCAAAGUAAAAAGAAAAAGAUAAAAUUAUUUAAAUAAUAAUGAAAUUUUCCAAAAAAAUAUUAAA